GGAAACCCCUGAUUAAAUUGCAAUUUAGUCACCAGCUUAACCAGUUUAGGACACUGGCACCUUAACCAGUAGGUUGGGUCAAGCUAUAGUAAGAGUUCUGAUAUUGACCCAGCCAUCACAGAGAAUGAUGAAAAGCCUAAUUUGGUGAGGAUAGUUUAAACACAAAUAUGGUUUGUACAUGAAAAAGGAAUUAGCUUAAGUGACCUAAAUAGCAAAAAAAGUGUGUGUGUAUAUCUCCACAGCCCUGGCAGAGUCAAGAUAUUAUAUUGGGGGGAGAAUGGAGGGAGUAUAUUUGGUGCAAAAUAUAAUUCUUUAGAAAUUAGUAAUUUACAAUAAGUUUUAAACUACAUAUUGUUUGAGCAAGCUCCCCCUCCGGCAUGUUGUGAUUUGUUAAUGGAGAUGCACGAGGGUCUAAGGAUCCUGGAGAAUUUAAGGAUUGCUUUGGAAAAGAGACAUUAAUUAAAGAUAGUCCAUUCAUUCCCUAUUAGUGAUGUCCUGAACGGUUCGCCGCGGACUCCAGUCAGCAGACACAUUCCAGCCAAUCAGCAGCAGACCCUCCCUCCCACCUCCUGGACAGCUCACUAAGAAUGCAGUUUCAAAAUGGAUGCUGUCCAGGAGGUGGGAGGGUCUGCUGCUGAUUGGCUGGAAUGUGUCUGCUGACUGGAGUCCACGGCGACUAUCUUUAGUUCUCAUACCGCAGGUUGCAGAAUUUGUUAUUUCUAUAUAUCAACUGGCAGAUCGUGUUUGCAACCACAUAAUACACAGACUCACAUCACAUUGAAUUGGUUCCUGUAAUUCACAGUGCCAUACUGCCAUACUGUAAAUUUAAGUUAUUUUUAAAUGUAUUAGCAGUAAUGUCUCUAGCAAGUGAGUUUUGAGACUAGAGCAAUAGUCGCCAAAUUGUGUAGCCCCAGUGAGUUACUCCUCUCACCUGGUCUGUGUUUUCGCUGCAUGAUUGCCAAGAAAGAUGCAGUGAUUUGGGACAGCUGUCCAAUUCCUAAAGAAAGUAUUUGUGGGAGCAUGUCCGUUUGAGUGUGAGAGGUUUUCCAUGCUAUUACAUUAACCCCUUAGUGACCAGACCAUUUUUUUAUUUUCUUAGCGUUCAGGACCAGAGCUGUUCUUACAUUUCUGCUGUGUUUGUGUUUAGCUGUAAUUUUCCUCUUACUCAUUUACUGUACCCACACAUUAUAUUUACAGUUUUUCUCGCCAUUAAAUGGUCUUUCAAUAGAUAUUAUAUUCAUCAUAUAACGAUAAAUAUAAAAAUAAAAAACCUUUUCUAACUUUGAAAAGCAGAAACUUUUACGCAUCUACCACCACCAAAAAAACACCUGUGCUAAAUAGUUUCUAAGUUUUGUCUAGAAAUACCCAAUGUUAACUUUUUUUGCUGUAAGUAUAAGUAGGACAGUGCGGUUUCAAAAUAUAUAUUUUUAAAAUGUAUCAAUAGUGACAUUGUAACACCAUUAUCUGUCAUAAAUCUCUGAAUCACACCUCACAUGCACAUAUUUUUUUUCAAAGUAGACAUCCCCGGGUAUUCAACUUAGUCACAAACACUGAGCAAAGUAAUCAUUUAUAUUUGUUUUUGUGUUAAAAAUGCAAAAAAAAAAAAAAGCUACCUUUGGCCAGUGUUUGCGACUAAGUGGCUACUUAAAAAGACUAAACAUACCCCCAUAUUGAAUACCCUGGGUUGUCUACUUUGAAAAAAAAAUAUGUACAUGUGAGGUGUGAUUCAGAGAUUUAUGACAGAUAACAAUGCAAUACCUUGGAUUAUCUUCUUUUGCAAAUGGUAUGCCAUCAUGGGGGUAAUUCUCAUUCCUGGGCUACCAUACGCUCUCAAAGGCAACAUAAUGAAUCUGGCAAAUUUCAAUGUGAAAAACUGAAAAUCAAGCCUUCUAUUUGACCCUAUAACUUUCAAAAACACUAUAAAACUUGUACACAUGUUAUACUCGGGGGACUUCGCUGAACACAUAUUGGUGUUUCAAAACCGUAACACUACAAUGAUAUCAUCAGUGAAAGUGCAGUUUGUGUGUGAAAAAUGCAAACAAUUUCACUUUUUACUGACAAUAUCAUUGUUGUGAUAUGUUCUACUGUUUUGAAACACUAACAUUUGGGUUCAGCAAAGUCUCUCGAGUAAAACAGCACCCGCCACGUACAGGUGUCAUGGAAAGUUACAGGGUUCAAUACUGUGCUAGCAAAUUAAAUUAUCUGGACUUUCAGCCUGGGUUGUCAGGCAGGUCCCUCAUAUUGCAAUAAAAAAAAAAAAAAAAUUUACAUAAAUAUGCACGUAGAAUUUAAU